GGGAAACGAUGUGGGAAGGCCCAGACAGCCAGGAUGUUGGCUUAGAAGCAGCCAUCAUUUAAAGAAAGCGUAAUAGCUCACUGGUCGAGUCGGCCUGCGCGGAAGAUGUAACGGGGCUAAACCAUGCACCGAAGCUGCGGCAGCGACGCUUAUGCGUUGUUGGGUAGGGGAGCGUUCUGUAAGCCUGCGAAGGUGUGCUGUGAGGCAUGCUGGAGGUAUCAGAAGUGCGAAUGCUGACAUAAGUAACGAUAAAGCGGGUGAAAAGCCCGCUCGCCGGAAGACCAAGGGUUCCUGUCCAACGUUAAUCGGGGCAGGGUGAGUCGACCCCUAAGGCGAGGCCGAAAGGCGUAGUCGAUGGGAAACAGGUUAAUAUUCCUGUACUUGGUGUUACUGCGAAGGGGGGACGGAGAAGGCUAUGUUGGCCGGGCGACGGUUGUCCCGGUUUAAGCGUGUAGGCUGGUUUUCCAGGCAAAUCCGGAAAAUCAAGGCUGAGGCGUGAUGACGAGGCACUACGGUGCUGAAGCAACAAAUGCCCUGCUUCCAGGAAAAGCCUCUAAGCAUCAGGUAACAUCAAAUCGUACCCCAAACCGACACAGGUGGUCAGGUAGAGAAUACCAAGGCGCUUGAGAGAACUCGGGUGAAGGAACUAGGCAAAAUGGUGCCGUAACUUCGGGAGAAGGCACGCUGAUAUGUAGGUGAGGUCCCUCGCGGAUGGAGCUGAAAUCAGUCGAAGAUACCAGCUGGCUGCAACUGUUUAUUAAAAACACAGCACUGUGCAAACACGAAAGUGGACGUAUACGGUGUGACGCCUGCCCGGUGCCGGAAGGUUAAUUGAUGGGGUUAG
rnacentral:rRNA from 1 species